UACGGGGGGGGCAAGCGUUGUUCGGAAUUACUGGGCGUAAAGGGCUCGUAGGUGGCCAACUAAGUCAGACGUGAAAUCCCUCGGCUUAACCGGGGAACUGCGUCUGAUACUGGAUGGCUAGAGAUUGGGAGAGGGAUGCGGAAUUCCAGGUGUAGCGGUGAAAUGCGUAGAUAUCUGGAGGAACACCGGUGGCGAAGGCGGCGACCUGGGUCGAGACUGACGCUGAGGCGCGAAAGCGUGGGGAGCGAACAGG
rnacentral:rRNA from 1 species